GGGGCAGACUUGGAGAGCCAGAGACCCGGGCCGGGAGCUGGGCUUUACCAGGGUCCAUUGUACUCACGCUGGGGGGCUGGAGACCUUCUUUUACUGGUUCUGCUUAUCAGCCAAACUACAGCUAACCUUUGGACUUGUUAAGCCAGUGCCUUGCAGCCUAGGCGCGGGGCUUUUCCACCGGUUCUCAGUUCUGCUUUAGUCCAGAGUGAAGACACUACGCUUCUGGGUUCAGGUGAGAGACGGAGGAAGCUGGGGUGCUCGUGGAAGAAGACGCGGAGAAAGAGAAGAGUAGAGACCCUGGAUGCAUCCCAGCCGACGAAGAUGGUGGGUCAGGACAGCCCGCAGGGCGGAAGAGAAACUGACCACUUGAGAAGGGGCGCCGAGGCCAGAGGGGAGGAUCACUGCUGACUGACUAAGGACCUCAGGCUGUUUAUAUGGGAGAGCUUUAGAUAUGGUUAUUUGUAUGGCAUUGUAUCAAGGCCUUCAAAUAUUUGCUGGGAGGUUUAGUGGAGAAUGUCUAGACCAGUGCAAACACUGCAGGCCCAGAGAAAUCCAAGAAGCUCAAGGAACCAUUCAAGAACCCUUUCUUUAUCCUACUGUCCUCACAAGGAAUUACAAGGAAAUCUUCUGAAUCCUUGUCAGCCUGGAUGAGCCCAUCAAAGAGGGUCCAAGUCAAUAAAAGAUCUUGAUUUCACCA